UUUGUCUUUGGUGCAGUGUGUGAUGAUGAGGAACGCUGCGUUUGUGAACUGUGCUCUUGAGUGCACCCGUGUGUAGACUGUCACGCUUUCCAGUUCAUGCAACGCGCGCUCAGUGAGAUGCAGCGAGCUGCCAACAACCUGAACACACAGACGGAGGCGCUGCUCGCCGGCGUAGCAGCACGAGAGCGUUGCCGCUGU